GAUGAACGCUGGCGGCGUGCCUAAUACAUGCAAGUCGAGCGAACAGAUAAGGAGCUUGCUCCUUUGACGUUAGCGGCGGACGGGUGAGUAACACGUGGGUAACCUACCUAUAAGACUGGAAUAACUCCGGGAAACCGGGGCUAAUGCCGGAUAACAUUUAGAACCGCAUGGUUCUAAAGUGAAAGAUGGUUUUGCUAUCACUUAUAGAUGGACCCGCGCCGUAUUAGCUAGUUGGUAAGGUAACGGCUUACCAAGGCAACGAUACGUAGCCGACCUGAGAGGGUGAUCGGCCACACUGGAACUGAGACACGGUCCAGACUCCUACGGGAGGCAGCAGUAGGGAAUCUUGCGCAAUGGGCGAAAGCCUGACGGAGCAACGCCGCGUGAGUGAUGAAGGUCUUCGGAUCGUAAAACUCUGUUAUUAGGGAAGAACAAAUGUGUAAGUAACUGUGCACGUCUUGACGGUACCUAAUCAGAAAGCCACGGCUAACUACGUG
rnacentral:rRNA from 1 species